rnacentral:lncRNA from 10 species
CAGUGAGCUGGACAACAUUGCUUCAUUAUUUCAGCUGCUUGUGAAGGAGACAAGAAAAUGGCGUAUGAAUAGAAAGUGAAUUGUUCAUCAUCAUACUUAAAGUCAUGAGGAUGGAGUUCUCAUGAAUGAGAUGACUGCCCUUGUAGAACAGACUCAAGAGAGACUCUUGCUCCUUACAUCAUGUGAAGACACAGAAAGAAGGUAUCAUCUAUGAAUCAGGAAACCGUUCCUUGAUCUUGGACUUCCCAGUCUCCAGAACUGUGAGAAAUAAAUGUCUCUGGUUUAUAAGCCACUUCAUUUAUGGUAUUUUCUUAUAGCAACCUGAACAGACUAAGACAAAGGAUAACUUGCUUUACUCAAAGUCUGCCUAUGUAAAUGUUAGUCUUAUCUAAAAAAUAUCUUCACGGCAACAUCUAGACUGGUAUUUGACCAAAUAUCUGGAUAUCAUGGCUUUGCCAAGUUGACAUAUAAAUUUAACUAUCACAAGUCCACCCUUUGUCAACUUGGCAUUGGUAUACAUAUCCUUAAACUUUACAUACUUAAUCUCCAAAUAGAAAUAAAUAACAAUGUCGUAUUUCCUCCUAACAUGAUACAACCAUCCUGCAUACAACCUGAAAUGCAUAACCUUUUUUUCCAGAAAAGGAUACAGAGUGCUUGGGUGAUGUUCACUCUUCUCCUUAAUAUCUUGUAACUUAAAUAUUAUAAUAUUAAGCUAGCAAUACUU